rnacentral:lncRNA from 1 species
UCCCCACUUCACCUCCUAUAGGCCAAAUACUUAUAAAUACCAUUCAAUAUUCACAAGAAAAAAACAUCCCAAAGUAUUUUGUUCUACUACUACAUUUUUUUCAUACACAAUUGUCACCAAAAAACAUCAUGGCUGAAGAAAAGAAACAUCACUUUGGUGGUCUCUUUAACCACCACAAGAACAAAGAGGAAGACACCCCCAUUGAGAAAACUACAUAUGAAGAAACAACCUAUGAAGACAGUGAAAAAACUAGCACUUAUGGAGACAACACAUAUGGUGAAAAAACUAGUUAUGGUGAUGAUACAUAUGGCAAAAAAACUACCACAUAUGGAGAUGACAACAAAUAUAGUGAGAAAACUAGUUAUGGUGAUGAUACAUAUGACGAAAAAACUAACACAUAUGGAGAUGAAAACAAAUAUGGUGAGAAAACUAGUUACAGUGAGGGAGAUGACAACAAAUAUGGUGAGAAAACUAGUUAUGGUGGUGAUACAUAUGGCGAAAAACCUACCUCCUACGGAGGAGAUAAUACAUAUGGUGAGAAAACAAGUUAUGGUGGGGGAGAUGAAAACAAGUAUGGUGAGAAAACUAGUUAUGGAGAGAAAGCUAGUUAUGGUGGAGGAGAUGACAACAAAUAUGGUGAGAAAACAAGUUAUGGUAAUGAGGAAGGUGGCUAUGGUGGAGGAGUUGGUGCCUACUCAUCUGAGACUACUACUAAUUAUGAAGAGAAUGAUGAUAGUGGAACCAAAACUUCUGAGGAUUACAAGGAAGAGAAGAAACAUCACAAGCAUCUUGAAGAACUUGGGGGACUUGGAGCUGUUGCUGCUGGUGCCUUUGCUUUGGUAAAUAUUCUUUAAUUCUAACUUUCCACGUGACAAUGCAUAUGUAUGAGAUUACAAGAUUAAAUGACAUUUUCCUACGUUAAUCUUCGAUAUGGUAUAUGAAAAUUUCAGCAUGAGAAGCACAAGGCAGAGAAAGAUCCAGAGCAUGCACACAAGCACAAGAUAGAGGAAGAGAUAGCCGCAGUAGCUGCAGUUGGUGCUGGUGGAUUUGCAUUCCAUGAACAUCAUCAGAAGAAAGAAGCAAAAGAAGAAGAGGAGGAAGCUGAGGGAAAGAAGAAGCAUCAUUUCUUCUAAUGAAUUCUCUUGUCAUAACAUAUAGUAUUUGUUGUGUGCUGAUCAAUCUAUCCUUUAAUUAAUACGUACUCAGCAUGCACCUAAAUAAUUUGUAUGUGUGUUACACUACUCUUGUCUUUGAUGUUGUGCACCUACUUUAAUUUGCAUGAGUGUGAAUAAUAUUACGUAUAUUGUUUUUCUUAAAGUUGACUCUCGUGUAUGAAUGGUUUCCGUACGUAAGCACAUUUUUUCUUUGUGUUCUAUAUUUAAGC